AUUCACCCUUGUUGUCUGACUGUUUCACUGAGUCAGAAGGUACAGAGAACAACUGACAAACCUCUGGACUCGCUGACAGUGUGGAAUCUGGUUUGCAUUUGGAAAUCAUGUCCCGUGUGUUUAGAAACUGAUGCCAAUCUGUGUUUCACAGUGCCUGCGAGUGCGCGUCCAUGUGCCAGCUUCUGGCCUUCGCUCCAGUCUGAAGAUGAAUUGUGUAAUUAUUAAUAGACACCCAUGCCCCUUCAUACUGCAACAGCACAAACGCACACACAUCAGAGAAGAUGCCCCAUUUGUAUUAAGUUACAUGUUGCUUUAUUAAGGGCUCUCGGUUUAGAGGGGAAUAACCAGGAGUGUCAUAUGUGUGAGUGUGAUAGCUAGAGUUAAGGUGUGGUUGAGUGUCUAUAUGUGAGUCGGUGUGUGUCUGACUGUGGGUAGACAGCUAGACUUGGCCAACAAGUACCGCAAAUAUUUAUCUAGGAAACUUCUGGAGGCUCAGCUAGCGAGGCUUCUCGUCUUGUCCUCGUCUCCACAGGAGGUAAAAGACAUUUAGCAAGAGAGUCUUCUUCUAUUCUCCAUGUCCAUCCUGUUUUUAGCCUCCCCGCCACACAUUUUUUCUAUUGUUUUGCUCUACUCCACCAGAUUGGAUGUGAAAUGAAAAUAUGACCAAGAGGUGCCGACUUCCUGUUCCACCUUUAAAUCUGCACUAAUCAAUAUUUUUGUAUUAACAAUGACUACAUGGAAUGUGAAAAAGGAGGGUCGCUCUGUGGGGUGAACCCACAGAAAAUCUCUACAUCCAGUUAUUGAGCCAGAAAUUUUCCUCAGAAAGAACUGUAGAGCAAAACAGCACUAAAGGUGAACUGUAAAGGCAGGAGUAAUAUUCCUUUUUAUGGCAUUUUUGAACAGUGCAGCAGGACAAUGACAUGGCCACGUCUCCACAAAGACCGGUCAACCAAUAUGGAUGUAAAAACCCUGAAAUUAAACCCCACAGUGCCCACAAGGUCCCCACAUCACAACAGUCUUUUCAUUUUAGAGCUAAUGUGCAGGAGCAAAACCAAAAAGACAUAAUGUCACAGAAGGACAAUGAAUUGAUUAAAUUACGUAUACUCAUACUUGAAAUGUUUGCUGACCAUUUUCAAAUGUAAGUGGUACUGUUUUGGAUUUUUGAUGCAGUUUUCCUUCUGUUUCAAACAGCCACUGGUUUCCAUUCAGUAUUUAAAUCAAAUGACACACUCUUUAUACUUGCUUCAGUUGUAUAAUCCAUCAUAAUGAACAUAAAGUCUGCAUUUAUUUUUGAUAAAACCUGCUGCAUAGUGCAGUUUAACUAAGCGACCCCACAAAAUAAUGUGACUUGGGACAAAAACUCCUGCAGGUUUGAUGUUUACUACAAAGAAUUACAAAACCCAAGUGUCUGGUAAUAGUGGGAAAAUGUUGUGAAAAUACAUUAAAUAAACAGUAUAAUAUUACAUUUAUUUAGCUGAUGAUAAAAGCUUAUCCAAAGUGACUUGCACUGCACACAAUCCAAAACUACUGAGUGGCAGCUGAGUCGUAAACAAGCUGGCAGUAGCAGAGCAUAGUGGACCAACUGGGGUGUAUGGUUAGACCACGUCCUGGAAGUAGGAUGGUCCCGAGCCAUGUUUUGCGCCAUGCUAAGCUGUGAUGUAAAGUACAUGUGAUUUGUAAGACACGCAAAAACCACAAGUAUGUUCCUUUAAUGUCUGCUCUGUGUGGGAUUUCUGACAUAGUGGGACAAGAAUGGAGACGGGCUGAAACAAGAAAACGACUUAAAUAGAGACACGGUUGCAAGUGUCCGGCACAAUAACACCAGGACACGCUGGUCGGGUGCGUAAUGUAUGAGUCAACGGACCACAAGCCGUUGGGUAAUGCGCGCGCGCGUGUGUGGAAUAGAGCUGGGCAGCGAGGCGACAGUGGUAGCUGGCUUGGGUCAUGGCUGCACAAGCACAUUACUACAGCUUAUGGCUAGACACGCACACACGCACGCACGCACGCACACGGCGAACAAAUACUCAAAUCAUGCAAAGAAACAAAGUACCCCAAUGUGAUAUUUUUCUCUGUAGCCAUAUUCUCUCUCACACGUGUAUCAAGUCAGAUCCCGGUGGACCUGAAGUCCCCACGUCAUGUAAAUGAGCUGCAUGAUGAAGCAUGGUCGGUCAAUACCUGUGUGUGUGUGUGUGUCCAUAUGCUGUUUUGGACAGGAGGUGAUGAUUCAUAUUCAGAUACUGCUGCAAAAAAGCCUUUAGCUGCAGGAUCAUCAGCACACAGUGGAAAGGGACACGCUGUCGCUAGGACGCGGCGAGCGUAAACACGUGCUGAUGAUGACGACGAUGACGACGACGACCACGUGCUCACACCUACAAAUAUAAAUCAACCUGUCGCACACAACGGGGGGAACACGUGCAAACAAAAACUCAUGUCACCUUUCUUUCAGCUCCACAGGAUGACAACUGGUCAUGAAUACAAACAAUUCCAUUAAUGGCAAAUGAAAUUCAGCAGGGAGCAUAAACAGUAAACACAGCGUGCGCAUGCACAGAUAUAUAGAGCCUCCCGACUCCGUCUCUUGCACACGUCAUUUCGACUUGUUUGUUCUUGACCACGUAUGACUAAUAAGUAAACAGGAGAGUUGUGCGCAUUUCAUUUCCUCUCCUUCUGCAGAUUCGAGGCUUUUAAUGCUCUGGUUAGGCGCUGUGACGCCUGCAGUGGAGAAGAACAUUGUGUUAACAGAGAGAGCUGAAGGGCGAGGGCAUUAAUUCUCAUUUCCAGAGAUGUUGUUUGUCCGGGCAGCAGAAACAGAACAUCAAGUUUACCAGGCAGGGAGAAGAAAACGACAAUGUCUACUCACGAACAACAGGUAGACAUACAGCCAGCAGUACAUACAAGGCUUGAGUCCACGCUGCGGGCAAACACACCUGAAACACCUAGAUCACUCAAAUGCACGUGCAGAGAAAUUCAAGCAUAUGUGCGGUCAUUCACUCGCAAACCGUCAAACGAGAUGGUUCCAGUUUGUGCCAGACAGGUGUGGUUUCCACAUCAUUUAAAUUUGGCACACAUCGCUUGAGUGGCAAGAAUAAUAAAUCAUGACUGGUAAAGCUGGGCAUAGCUUCUGAAUCCAAAUGAAAAGUUAUUUUCUUUCCCAACACCUCAAAGCUGAUGGAAGUUUGGCCUUAUGAUUGAUUAAACGCAACCACAGACUAAGGCUGGACAGGCUUUAUAUGUUGCUCUCAUUUGGUAUUUAACUGUCUUGUUCAUUCCUACUAGAACUCAUCCUUUGCAAGCAGUGUCACCACAGUGUUUGAUCAUCAGCUGAUCGGGAUUUAAUGUCUCUGAUGUUUGCAGCAAGACCAAAUGGAGAACACACAUUCAUCUCAUCUGUGGUAUAUUUCCUAAGACGCAGGUUCACUCUAUAAUUAAUUCCUGUUAGUUUUGCGGUAUGAAGUUGUCCUCCGUGGAUAUUUAUGGGCUGUUAAAUUUAAUUGCUUACAUUCCUGCCAAAGUCAGUAACUAAGAUGUCUUAAAUCGACUUUCAGAUGAGUCACUGAUAAGAUUUGGGAGAAAUACAGUUUUAUGCCUCUGAAGGAUUAUUUGUUUUUAUGCAUAUCUAAAGAACAACUAAUGAUACAAAGCUGACUAAUUACUUUUAUUGUCAACUGACGGUACAUUUAAAACUGUCCGAUAAUGAGCAACCAUGACUUGGUGUGCAUGGCUCUCUAAUAAGAGUGAUACUAGGCCUUAAAAGGGUUUGGAGGGCCCCGUUUUUAGAUUUACCUAAACCCACAACACAAGCAGUGUGGAUUAAACCUUGUGUUUGUCUGCUUUAACAUGCUCUGUCCUGCUCUAGCCUUUUAGCACAAUAUAAUAUUUGUGGCCAUUAAGUUCAUAUUUAAAACCCUUUUACAGGGUUCUUGUGUUUUAAAAGUUGGAAGUUUUAGCGUAAGCAUUCCCUUACGCUAGCUAUCUACACCUUAUAUCCACAGUCAACAGCCAGAUAUAGAAUAUAGAAAUAAGAAGCUGCUUUGGUUUACUUUUAUGUGAAACCGAAGACCAAUUGUCUCAAAAAUCAACACAAAUGUUGAGUAGUAAGAUCGCUUAUCAUUAGGAAAGGUCAAUUAUUCUGUCAAUUAAUUUUUAAAAGUAAUUAUUUAGCCUAUAAAGCCUAAAGCUAAAAGAUAUUUUAGCUUUCGGAUAUAAAACAAAAGAAAAAGCAGCAAACAUUCGACAAUAAAUUACUUUUAUUAAUGUAAACAAACAUUUAAGAAUUUUUAAAAAGCGUUUAAUUCCUCUUCUGUCAAUCAACUAUUGAUUAAAUUGGCUAAUGGUUCAGCACUACAGGGUGCAGACUUGUCUCCUGAUGCAAGAAAUCUAUGUAAUCCCAAGAAAAUCAUUUCCAGCCAGAAAGCACAUGUGGUUCCACGUAACUGACUCUACAACACACACACACACCCACCCACCAAAUUGUGCAAUUUAAUCAAGAAAAUGCUGCAAAGCACAGGAAGCUGUUAGUUCUAAUACCGAGGCCCGGUUACGGUGCUGACGCCGAGGUGACGUGAAGGUGAGGCAGCACUCUAAAGGUUAAUGACCGCUCUCAGGCCAAUAAUGGCAGCGGUGAGCAAACAUCACUGCCCCUUCAUUCGAUCUGUACCGACGAGUUACAUAAGGCGGGUCAAAGGACUGUUUGUUUUUUCUCUCGAUCACCAUAAAGAAGAUUUCAAUUAUCUCGACUGUGGAAAGUGUUCGGCAUGUUGAUUCCAGGUUACUGCUGUCAUAAACCCAUUACCUCUGAGUCGUCUGACCUUCAACCAUCAUCAUCAGAAAAAGCUGAAAAAACUACCCAAAGCAAGCAUCCACAUCCAUUCUCUGUGCUUGCCGGUGUCUAGAGCUUCGAUGUGUCCACAGCGCUUUAUGAAAAGGCCUUCUGAUGUCUAUUGAAAUUAGGCAAACAGUAACAGUGGGAAAGCAAAUAUGGUGGAUUAUAAAUAUUACGCAUGCACGUACGCAAUCUGGGCCAUGAAAUUUCCAUCCAAAGACAGAAGAGAAGCUUAACUGAUCAUACUUAUUGUUAUUCAAUACCGAUUGCUGAUGAUGACGUAUGAAGGUUCAACAAGUGCUCAGAGUGCGAACACACACACACACACACACACACACGGAUGCACAGACAGACACACAGUAGAGAUUUAUUCUAUUCUAUUCAUUGUGCAGAACCAAAUCCUCCCAUUUCCUCUUCUUCCUUACCCUUGAAUCAAUGGAAGAUUAGUCUGUGGUGGAGUGGACCUCAGGCAACAUUUGAGUCAACACACACACACACACAGACACAGACAAGUCUUAACAUCACUUCCUCAUGUAGACAAAAGUCAGUACUUUUCCUUUGAAUGACACCAUUAAAUCCCA